CAGUUCAGAUUGCAGGCUGCAACUCGCCUGCAUGAAGUCGGAAUUGCUAGUAAUCACAGAUCAGCAUGCUGCGGUGAAUACGUUCCCGGGCCUUGUACACACCGCCCGUCACACCAUGGGAGUCGGUAACACCCGAAGUCGGUAGCCUAACCGUAAGGAGGGCGCCGCCGAAGGUGGGAUUGAUGACUGGGGUGAAGUCGUAACAAGGUACC
rnacentral:rRNA from 1 species